UUUAAAAAUUAUUUCGCUACAGUGUUUUUUAGUUUUCAGUUUCAGUUUUCAGUUUUCAGCUGUAUCCAAACGCACCAGUGUGCUAAACCAACGCGUCUGCGUUUUUUAGCUAGUCUUAUGGCGCUGUUCAUAGAACAGUCAAAAUACAAAAAUACAUGAACAGUAGCAAUGAACAGUAUUUUGCCUUUUAAAAAUUAUUUUACUACAAUAUUUUCAGUAAUAAGUUUUUUGGGGUCUGGAUAUUGCUACUUUGGUUUGUGAUUUCCUGGAAAUUUUAAAGGCACAUAGUUUUUGUUGUUUAGUUGCAUCUGAGUGCUAUGAAUUUUCCAUUUCUCAUUGGUUAAUUAGCAGACUGGGAUGACUGUCAAACCAUUGAAAUUUCCGAUUCUCCCAGUUCUGAUUUCUGAGCCUUGAGACUAUCAACUGAGACUUAGAAAAAAUAAAAAAGACUACCAUUUCUGAGUCUGAUGAUACUUUGUUUAAUCAUUAAUUUGCUGAACUAUAUAUUUGAACGUCUGAUAUUUCAAGUAAUUACAUCCCAGUGCCCUGUGCUUCUAUCAUUUGCAAUUUUGCUAUAUUGCUUGAACUCUAGUAGAUAUAAUGAUUGCAAAGCAUACCUUUAAUGGGCAUUGGAUGAAGAUGUCUAUUGUUUUUGUGCUUUUCUAUUUGAUUUUCCUUUUUUGUUGAUUUCAAACUGACAAUGUCAUUUAUGUUAGUUAUGUAGUCAAUACUUUUUUUGUGCAAGUUGCAAUCAUUACUCGUUCACUGCUUCAUAUUUAAUGACCAAAAACAUCUUCUAGGUUUUCCCUGUUUGUAUCUAUGACUUGAUGCUUUUCAUUCAAACUUGUUUUACUUGUAACUUUCUAAUGGUGGGUUACCCUUCUGAAUUCUACCCAGAAUCUUUAUGGUUUUAUGUCAGAUACCAAAGGGGCUUGAAAAAUAAUACCAUGAGAGGUCUUCUGGGACUAAUCUUUUUUAGUAAAGCUGCCUAGUUUCCUAAAUCAUUAGAAAAUUGUGUGUUUUAGUGCUUAUCUGUGACUGAGAGUUUGACUCUGUUUCAUUUGAAACACAAUAUUUAAUCAUUCAAUGUAACUUCAGAGUGCUUUGAACAUUAUUGUUUUUGGAAAAUUAUUAAGUACUUUAGGAAUAUCCUCUCGCAUGAAUAGUAAAUCUCACCAUAAAUUUAAUUAGUGAACCUACCAUUCAUGUGAGAAGAGAAAAUAUUCAUUUAUGAUAUUUCAGAAGUACACAAUAAUUUUCCGUUGUGUUUUUGAUCUCUGGAGUUAUGCUUAACUUCUAAUUUGAAAAAGAUGCCAACCUUAAAAUUUUGGGUCACGAGUGUCUCUUGAGUGGAAUAAAUCUUGAAGCUAAGUUUUGACUGUACGAAAAAAUCUUAUUUUCCCAAAUAUUUUUUACCAUAAGAGUGGUUUUCCAAACAAUUCUUUAGAUUCAUAUACCGUGGGAUAAGACAGUUCUUCUUCUUCUUCUUCUUCUCUUGUGCCUUGUGGUUAAAGAUUGGUCACUCUAGAUGGAAUUGAAGGAGCAAAUAAGUUCUAGGAAAGCUUUAUGGUCCAGAAGCAGAUGUUUGGAGUGCUGGAGUGAUUCUAUACAUUCUAUUAAGUGGAGUGCCUCCCUUUUGGGCUGAAUCCGAGCAAGGGGUAUUCAAACAGGUCCUGCAGGUGGUCUUGACUUCACUGCUGAACCUUGGCCUAGUAUAUCCGAAAGUGCAAAAGAUUUAGUGAGGAAAAUGCUUGUUCGAGAUCCUAGGAGGCAGCCAACUGCACAUGACGUUUUGUGUGAGUCCUCCAUUGUUUUGUUUUGUUUUUUGAUCAGUUAAUUCCGAUAUGUGGGAAUUACGUGAUUAGGGAAUGGGGUUGAGUAGAAUCUAUUUCUAUUGUAAUUCAUAUAAGAUUUUAUAAUAUUUUCCAUUCAGGUUUUCCUUGUGA